rnacentral:rRNA from 1 species
AUUAAACGCUGGCGGCAUGCCUUACACAUGCAAGUCGAACGGCAGCACGGGGGCAACCCUGGUGGCGAGUGGCGGACGGGUGAGUAAAGCAUCGGAACGUAUCCUGGAGUGGGGGAUAACGUAGCGAAAGUUACGCUAAUACCGCAUAUUCUGUGAGCAGGAAAGCAGGGGAUCGCAAGACCUUGCGCUCUGGGAGCGGCCGAUGUCGGAUUAGCUAGUUGGUGGGGUAAAGGCCUACCAAGGCGACGAUCCGUAGCGGGUCUGAGAGGAUGAUCUGCCACACUGGGACUGAGACACGGCCCAGACUCCUACGGGAGGCAGCAGUGGGGAAUUUUGGACAAUGGGCGGAAGCCUGAUCCAGCCAUGCCGCGUGAGUGAAGAAGGCC